CCUACGGGAGGCAGUAGUAGGGAAUAUUGCUCAAUGGGGGAAACCCUGAAGCAGCAACGCCGCGUGGAGGAUGAAGGUUUUCGGAUUGUAAACUCCUUUUGUUAGAGAAGAUAAUGACGAUAUCUAACGAAUAAGCACCGGCUAACUCCGUGCCAGCAGCCGCGGUAAUACGGAGGGUGCAAGCGUUACUCGGAAUCACUUGGCGUAAAGGGCGCGUAGGCGGGAUAGCAAGUCAGAUGUGAAAUCCUAUGGCUUAACCAUAGAACUGCAUUUGAAACUGUUAUUCUAGAGUAUGGGAGAGGUAGGUGGAAUUCUUGGUGUAGGGGUAAAAUCCGUAGAGAUCAAGAGGAAUACUCAUUGCGAAGGCGACCUGCUAGAACAUAACUGACGCUGAUGCGCGAAAGCGUGGGGAGCAAACAGGAUUAGAUACCCGGGUAGUC
rnacentral:rRNA from 1 species